AGAAUUCAGAGCGCGUGAGCGCCUGAGCAGCCUCCUCCGGAGCCAGGUUCUCCACUUCCCCCGCCUCGGGUUCCGGCUUCUGCAAGCGGGGCACCAUGGUGGUCCUCCGCAGCAGCCUGGAGCUGCACAGUCGCUCCACCACCUCCUCGGCCACCGACUCUCUGGACCUGUCCAGUGAGUUCCUCAGCCUGCAGGACAGCGGCGGGAGGCGGCCCAGAUUGCGCCGAGCCGGGAGGAAAUCGACGGCGUCCAAGGCGGCGGGCGAUGGAUUCACAGUUAAGGGAGCUGAAACCUACCACAACACGCGCUCUUUAAGGUCUCUGAGAAACCAAGCACAAACUUCUUCAGAGUCUAGUUUUGACAAGAACGUGGACAGAACAGAGAAAUACUCCAAUGGCAGACAUUUCACAAGGCAAUUUGCUCGACAGCAGGCUGAUAAAAAAGAAGAGUGCAAAGAAGACAAAGUUAUUCCAGUUAUUCGCUCAUUGAGGAAUAGAAACAUUGCUCCAACUGCAGAACAUUUGCACGAACAAAGUGGAGAUGUUGAAGUUCGAAGAAGUUGCAGGAUUAGAAGUCGUUACAGUACCAUGAACCAGUCUGUGCUAUUUGACAAGCUUAUAACAAACACUGCUGAAGCUGUACUUCAAAAGAUGGAUGACAUGAAAAAGAUGCGCAGACAGCGGAUGAAGAAGCUUGAAGACUUGGGAGUAUUCAAUGAAACAGAAGAGAGUAAUCUCACUAUGUACACAAGAGGAAAACUAAAGGCUAUCCAGCGAGCUGAUGAAGAAACAACUGAUAACCAGGACGGCAGUGUGGAAUCAUCUGAAGAGGGGGAAGAGCAAGAGGAUGAUGAUGGCGAAGAUGAAGAUGAUGAAGAUGAAGAAGAGGGAGAAGAAGAUAAUCAAAAAAGAUACUAUCUUAGGCAGAGAAAAACAACGGUUUACUACCAGUCUCCACUGGAAAGUAAACCUCGUCACCAGAGAAAGCCCAACAUGUUUUAUAGUGGCCCAGCUUCUCCUGCAAGACCAAGAUUCCGCUUGUCUUCUACGGGACCAAGAAGUCCCUAUUGUAAACGAAUGAGCAGGCGAAGGCAUGCCAUCCACAGCAGUGACUCUACUUCCUCCUCCUCCUCUGAAGACGACUGUUUUGAGAGGAGAACAAAAAGGAACCGAAAUAGAGCUAUUAACAGGUGCCUCCCACUAAAUUUUCGGAAAGAUGAAAUAAGAGGGAUUUAUAAAGAUCGAAUGAAAAUUGGAGCAAGCCUUGCUGAUGUUGACCCAAUGCAACUAGAUACUUCAGUGCGCUUUGACAGUGUUGGCGGCCUGUCCAGUCACAUUGCAGCUCUAAAAGAGAUGGUGGUGUUUCCCUUACUUUAUCCAGAAGUCUUCGAAAAGUUUAAAAUUCAACCCCCAAGAGGUUGUUUGUUUUAUGGACCACCUGGAACUGGAAAAACCCUGGUUGCUAGAGCACUUGCCAAUGAGUGCAGCCGAGGGGAUAAGAGAGUGGCGUUCUUCAUGAGGAAAGGUGCUGACUGCCUGAGUAAAUGGGUAGGAGAAUCUGAGAGACAGCUUCGGUUGCUAUUUGACCAGGCCUAUCAGAUGCGCCCAGCAAUUAUAUUCUUUGAUGAAAUUGAUGGUUUGGCUCCAGUACGAUCUAGCAGGCAAGAUCAGAUUCACAGUUCUAUUGUUUCAACCCUGUUAGCUCUUAUGGAUGGUUUGGACAGCAGAGGAGAAAUUGUGGUCAUUGGAGCUACCAACCGGCUAGAUUCCAUAGACCCUGCUUUACGGAGGCCCGGUCGGUUUGACAGAGAAUUCCUUUUUAGUCUACCUGAUAAAAAUGCUCGAAAAGAGAUUCUGAAGAUUCAUACAAGAGAUUGGAAUCCAAAGCCAGUGGACAUGUUUCUAGAAGAACUAGCAGAACACUGUGUUGGCUACUGUGGUGCGGAUAUUAAGUCAAUCUGUGCUGAAGCUGCUUUGUGCGCCCUGCGUCGACGGUACCCGCAGAUCUACACCACCAGCGAGAAGCUUCAGCUGGAUCUCUCUUCAAUUACCAUCUCAGCUAAGGAUUUUGAGGCAGCUCUGCAGAAAAUAAGACCAGCUUCCCAGAGAGCUGUGACAUCACCCGGACAGGCACUGUCUGCCAUUGUGAAACCACUUCUGCAAAAUACUGUUCAUAGGAUCUUAGACGCCCUACAGAAAGUAUUUCCACAUGUGGAAGUUGGAACAAACAAAUCUUUAAAUUCAGAUGUUUCUUGCCCUUUUCUAGAAAGUGAUUUGGCAUACAGUGAUGAUGAUACACCAUCUGUGUAUGAAAAUGGACUUUCUCAAAAAGAAAAUUUAAAUUUUCUUCAUUUAAAUAGAAAUGCCUGUUACCAGCCUAUGUCUUUUCGACCAAGACUAUUGAUAGUGGGAGAACCAGGAUUUGGACAGAGUUCUCACUUGGCACCAGCUGUCAUCCAUGCUUUGGAAAAAUUUACUGUAUAUACAUUAGACAUUCCUGUUCUUUUUGGCAUCAGUACAACAUCUCCUGAAGAGGCAUGUUCCCAAAUGAUUCGUGAAGCUAAGAGAACAGCACCCAGCAUAGUCUAUGUCCCACAUAUCCAUUUGUGGUGGGAAAUAGUUGGACCGACACUCAAAGCCACAUUUACAACAUUAUUACAGACUAUACCUUCAUUUGCUCCAGUUUUAUUACUUGCAACUUCUGAGAAACCAUACUCAGCUUUGCCGGAAGAGGUAAUUGGGGUAGGGUGCAGAAGAGUUAUCUUACCCUAAAAUAACCUACCUCAAGAACCAAGUGCUACGGGGCACAUGAAACAUAAGGAGUAGUCUUUAUCAGGUACAAGAAUUGUUUACCCAUGAUUAUGGAGAAAUUUUUAAUGUACAGUUACCAGAUAAAGAAGAACGAACCAAAUUUUUUGAAGACUUAAUUUUAAAACAAGCUUCAAAGCCUCCUGUGUCACAAAAGAAAGCAGUUCUGCAGGCCUUGGAGGUGCUCCCAGUCGCACCACCGCCUGAACCAAGACCACUGACAGCAGAGGAAGUUAAACGGCUUGAAGAACAAGAAGAAGAUACAUUCAGAGAACUCAGGAUUUUCUUAAGAAAUGUCACACAUAGACUUGCUAUUGAUAAGCGAUUCCGAGUCUUUACUAAGCCUGUUGACCCUGAUGAGGUUCCUGAUUAUGUCACUGUCAUAAAGCAACCAAUGGACCUUUCAUCUGUAAUCAGUAAAAUUGAUUUACAUAAAUAUCUCACUGUGAAAGACUAUUUGAAGGAUAUUGAUCUAAUCUGUAGUAAUGCUUUAGAAUACAAUCCAGAUAGAGAUCCUGGAGAUCGUCUUAUUAGGCAUAGAGCUUGUGCUUUGAGAGACACUGCUUAUGCAAUAAUUAAAGAGGAGCUUGAUGAAGACUUUGAGCAGCUCUGUGAAGAAAUUCAGGAAUCUCGGAAGAAGAGAGGUUGUAGCUCCUCCAAAUACGCACCAUCUUAUUACCACGUCAUGCCAAAGCAAAAUUCUCCUCCUGUUGGUGAUAAAAAGCCAGAUCAAGAGCAGAAUGAGAAGCUAAAGGUACCGUGCACUCCUGUGGCGUGCAGCACACCUGCUCAGUUGAAAAGAAAAUUCCAUAAAAAGUCAAAGUGGCAUGUAGGCACCAAAAUAAAGCGAAGGAAAAUUUCACAAGCUAAAGACAACAGCUUGAAUGCUAUGAACAGUUCAAGCAGGAGCGACACAGAAGACAGCCAGCACACACAUGCAGAGCACACGGAGCCUGGAAACACGGACGAGUCCUCGGUAGAAGAAAGUGACAAGCAAAAUAGACUUGAAAGCAACAUAGACUUGAAAAAUAACUCAAGUUCCUCUAAUAUUGAGAAUGAACUUGAAGAGCCUAAGGAAACUACGGAGGGCACAGAACUGAGAAAAGACAGGAUUGUUUGCAGGGGUGAUGCCUCUGCCUCCCAGGUCACAGACAUUCCCGAAGACAGUGAAUCAAAAGAAAUGGAUUUUCUGCGGAUGACUCUAGCUAGAGGUUCCCAGGUAGAGCAGCAGGAGCUCAUCAGUAUGGAGCAGGCUCUGGCCAUCCUCUCUCAGCCGACACCCUCACUUGUGCUGGACCACAAGCAGUUAACAAAUAUUUUGAAGACGGUUGUUAAAAAAAGUCAGAAAUAUAAUAUAUUCCAACUGGAGAAUUUGUAUGCAGUAAUCAGCCAGUGUAUUUAUGAGCACCGCAGGGACUAUGACAAAACAGCGCUUGUUCAGAAAAUGGAGCAAGCAGUAGAAAACUUCAAUUGUUCCAGAUCAUAGUCGAUACAUUCAAGUACUUUAUCUUCAGUUCCUAUUUAAUUGUCUUCAGAUAUAUCAUCAUAACUGAUGCAAGAUAAGGUGAAAUCUUGCAUCUUCAAGAAAAGAUUAAAAUAGUAAAAGUAUCUUAAAUUUCCUGAUAUUUAUGUACAUAUAGUAAGAUAACUGAUAAGUCUUAGAUGUUUGAGUGAAGCACUGCUACAAUAGUAAUAGUUUGGCUAGAUCUUAAAGCUGUUUUGGUAAUUAAUGUCUUGUGACAUUUAAUAAUGACUUAGCAAGCAUUGGAUUUUUUUUUUUUGUUGUUCUUGUUAGCUAAAGCACUUUUAGUUUUAUCCUUCCCUAGUAGGUUAUUGUAUCAGACUAGAAUUAUAUCUGUUAUAUUUUGCUGUCUUUGUUUUCCUUUGUCUUUCUCCUGUUUGCCAAAAUUCAAUUCAAGUUGUGAUUUUCAAGAGGACCUCAAAACAAUUCUGUACUUAAUAUAAAAAUCAAUGUCUUUAGAUAAAUACUUUCAUAGUUCUAAUUUGGGUUAAUAUUUUUAAAUGUAUUGUUUACUUUUGUAAUUAUAUACACAACAAAUAUUAGUGACUAGUUUUUGUAUUUGACAACUGUUUACCAUUGUGUUUAGGUUAUAUUCUAUAAAUACUCUUUAUAUGCAUAUAUAUGGCUAUAAAUAUAAAUUUUGUAUUACUGGUACCAAAAACACUUUUUUUUUUUUUUCCAGCAGGGUUUCUCUGUGUAGCCCUGGCUGUCCUGGAACUCACUUUGUAGACCAGGCUGGCCUCGAACUCAGAAAUCUGCCUGCCUCUGCCUCCCAAGUGCUGGGAUUAAAGGCGUGGGCCACCACGCCCGGCUCAAAAAUACAUUUCUUAAAGUUGAAAUCAUUUGCUUCUUCCAUAAUGGGACGUUGAAACUUCUGCUUUCGGAACAGCGUGUGUUGGAAAGCUUGUUUGAGAAUGGCUACUAGAGUUUAAGAGGCUAUGUAUGGAGUUUGUUGGGGAUGUAGUGAUGGUGGUAAGGAUCAGACCUAGGGCCCAGUGUACACUUAAGCACAUGCCUAACUCAAGAGUUUAGAUUUUAGUAUAGUUUAAAGUUGAGCUGCCUUUUCUUAUGUAGCUAUUUAAAAUAUUUCUGAAGUUCAGUAAUUUGGAUGCCUUCAUUAGUAGAUGCUGUCCUAUAUACCUAUUAAAAAUGCCAAACACUGAUAACAUUGAACAUGUUCAUAUUGAUAGAGAUAAUAUUGUAUAGGUCUAGUGUGUAUGGAUCUGGGAUCUCCGCCCUUGAGGCAGAGACGGGAAGAUCAGGAGUUCAAGGUCUUAGCUACAUAGUAAGUUUGAAGCCAGCCUGGCUACUUGAGACUCUGUCUCACAAAAGCAAAUAAACAAAGGAUUAUGCUUAAUAGUUUUCAUUGAAGUUUAUUAUAACUUAUUUCAGAUGUGUCCUUUUAUUGUACAUUUUGUAUAAUAAAUGUUGAAGUUGAAAACUGUUA